UCAAUAAGCCGUUGCACAAAUGAAACAUUUUCUUAAAUUCCAGAGGGCCCCUCACACUUGCUUCAGCUCUGACUUCAGUUGUGGGGACAGCCAAUGUAUGCCUCACUCCUGGAGGUGUGACCGCUUGCCGGACUGUGCUGACGCAAGCGACGAGGACGACUGUGAUCAGAAUGAAUGUCUGGUGAGCAAUGGCGGCUGUUCUCACCUGUGUGUAGACCUGCCGAUUGUCUUCCUCUGUGACUGUCCUGCUGGCAUGAGGUUGGUGCACGACACCAAAUGUGAGGGGACAUGUAUACUGGAGUGAACAGGCCACCCACUCAAUCUGUAGUGCUGACAAGCACAAUGGCAGCCUCUACAGAGUCAUCCUGCCCAAUAUCGCUUUCCCUGGUACGCUUUCCCUGGUGAACUCGUUCACCCAGUUCUUCAACCAAAAGGCUCUGCUGUAUGUGGGAAUACCAGUAGAGUUUCUCCAUAUGAGUGUGUGCCAUACCUUUUCUCUGGAACAGGCUCUCCCAGCUUCACCUGCGUUUCUCCAACAGGUGAUG